rnacentral:rRNA from 1 species
UACAGAGGGUGCGAGCGUUAAUCGGAAUUACUGGGAGUAAAGAGCACGUAGGUGGCUUGCUAAGUCUGAUGUGAAAUCCCUAAACUCAAUUUAGGAAGUGCAUUGGAUACUGGUAAGCUAGAGUGCAAGAGGGGAGAGCGGAAUUCCUGGUGUAGAGGUGAAAUUCGUAGAUAUCAGGAGGAACAACAGUGGCGAAGGCGGCUCUCUGGAUUGCAACUGACACUGAGGUGCGAAAGCGUGGGGAGCAAACAGG